rnacentral:rRNA from 1 species
AGUGAACGCUGGCGGUAGGCCUAACACAUGCAAGUCGAACGGCAGCACAGUAGGAGCUUGCUCUUACGGGUGGCGAGUGGCGGACGGGUGAGGAAUACAUCGGAAUCUACUUUUUCGUGUGGGAUAACGUAGGGAAACUUACGCUAAUACCGCAUACGACCUACGGGUGAAAGCAGGGGAUCUUCGGACCUUGCGCGAUUGAAUGAGCCGAUUUCGGAUUGGCUAGUUGGCGGGGUAAAGGCCCACCAAGGCGGGGAUCCGUAGCUGGUCUGAGAGGAUGAUCGGCCACACUGGAAGGGGACCAGGCUCCAGAGGCCUAAGGUACGCAGCAGAGUGGUAUGGUGGGCAGCAGGCGCGAACAUGGUCCAGCCGGACCACGUGGGUGGAAGAAGCGUUGGGUUUGUGAAGACGGUUUGUGGGGUGUAAAAAGCAGCAGGUUGAGACCACGCUGGUCUGACGGUAACCAAAGAAGAAGCACCGGCUAACUACGUG